rnacentral:rRNA from 1 species
CACGUAGGGCGCAAGCGUUGUCCGGAAUUAUUGGGCGUAAAGAGCUCGUAGGCGGCUUGUUGCGUCGGCUGUGAAAACCCGUGGCUUAACUGCGGGCCUGCAGCCGAUACGGGCGGGCUGGAGUUCGGUAGGGGAGACUGGAAUUCCUGGUGUAGCGGUGAAAUGCGCAGAUAUCAGGAGGAACACCAAUAGCGAAGGCAGCUCGCUGGGACGGUACUGACGCUAAGGCGCGAAAGCGUGGGGAGCGAACAGG